GAUGUUGUGGGGCAGCCGUGGUUAGCACUUCGGACUUGUAACCGGAGGGUUGCCGGUUCGAACCCCGACUAGUAGGA
rnacentral:tRNA from 1 species